rnacentral:lncRNA from 1 species
GGGCUGGGUUAUUAAGGCAUGCAGGAGGACUUGAACAAGUUUGGAAUUUCGCGAAACCUUGAAUCCAUGCCUUUUAAGUUCUUUCCGUUACAUUGCUGUAGGAAUUAGUAUUGCUGUUUUUGUUUUGGGACAACAUUUGUUUCCCGGUUUGGUUAACUUACCAAUUCAAAGUACAAUUCACUCCAGAGACAUCCAUGCACGCACCGUGUUUGUUGAGAAUUCAAUUUUAAGGGUCAUCGCCCC